rnacentral:misc_RNA from 1 species
AUAUAUAUAAUUUAGGCAAUUUAGACUAUGGCGCCUCACUUCACAAAGGCCCUCAACUAAGGCCAUAGGGUUGCCUCUCGCCUUAGCGUUGCCUCUCGCCUUAAUAACACUACCUUAAUAAUAAUAACACUGGCCUUAAGGAAAUUUCAUCCUAUGUGAUUUGCUUUUCUUCUGGAACUUCAUAACCUAUGUGAGAUUCAAUAUCUCUUAAAAUUACCCAGAAGUGUUGACAGCCAAGUUGCAUACAGUGAGGUGAAUAUAUUUGACAUUUCUAUUCUCCCUAGUUUCAUGCAAUGAAGUCUCAGGAGUAAUGGAUAUCAAAUAAACGAGUCUAAAUUCAAAAGAAGCCUCUAAAUUACAACUUUGUCGUACCCAGAAUUUUUUCUUCAACAGAAUUCAAGUAGAACCAAAUUCCAUUAUCCCAAUAUAAUUGAAUGACAAUGUUGGAGACACAAAGGGCCAGUUUGGUUAUUCUUAGAAAUGGAAAUGGAAGCAGAAGCUGCCAAGAGACUCCAUCCAUAAUUUCCAUUCUAAUUCCUCCUUUCAAAAUCAAGAAAUAAAGAACCCACCAAAACUUACCCACAACAUCAUGAGAAGGGACCU